UUUGGUCUCCGAAGCGCGCCUCUUGCUUCAGCUCCCGGUGAGAAAAGAGCAUCCGGGUGAUAAGCGGUGUGUGCCCUUGCCGUCUCCCGGCUCAAGCCUCAGCAGGCAGGCCGGCCCGGCAGAGCGGAAGGAGCGUCUUUGUUCGCGCCAAGGACUUUGGCCAUCCAGGCACACUGAUCUCCCGGCCUCCGCGGCGGUGGCGCAGAUGACGAGCGGCCGCCUAGAAGAAAGGAGACAUGGAAAUUCUUUCUACUUUAACUGAUCCCUGGAUGAAAGUUUGCUCCAUCUAAUAUGGGAGCGGACAACAUUUGAGAAAUCAGGACUACAACUCAAUCUCCCAAACUUCCAAGUGCAGCAGGAGGCCAUAGAGUGCCAUCACAAGAAGAGGGGCCAUGCGUGUGAGGGUAAUCCAGGUUGAAAUGCUCCAGAGUUGGAGAUUUUGGUGAGAGGUCGACACCAUCAGAGCAUGCCACAAAAAAGCUGGAGCUCCUGCCAUCCAUUCCCCAUAACUGUUGCAGUAGAUUCAAACCAGGGUAGUGUUUUCAACACUGCAUGGGGAAGACUGAAUUCACUGAUAGCCACUCAAAGAAUACAAUUAGAGGUAAGUAACCAGAUCUUCUUCACCAUGGUUUUUUUGAUCUAAAAAUAUGGGUGAUUAACCAGCUCCCCUAUCUGUAUGUAGGUGACUCAUUAAAGUAUUGAAGCAGGACUGCUCAGCCAAAUGCCACAUUUUGACAAGAGCUAAUAUCAAGAUAAUUACUGAUGCAGCUGAACAACUAAGACCAGAUUGCUCCACAACAAAUUUCUGGAAAAGGCAUAUCCUACAUAAAUGCCACUAAGGAUGCUUUGCCAAACUGUAGUAGGGCCUAAUAGCCUCUGUAACUCAUUUUAACAGCCACCAAGAAAAAUGAUUAGUGGUCCAGAACAUGCAACAAAAAAUGAGGAUGUUUAUAGAAUGUUUCAAAUAAAAAUGUAACAUUUCAAAUACAAAUUUAACAGCCAUUGAGACAUCCAGCACGUGCAACAAAUGCUCAAGAAGUAUCAACAGGUCCUGGUAUAAAUGGAGUCCAAGACUGCUUUAGGUAAGGUCCUGUAUCUGCUUGCCCUGAAGAGUUUGGGGUGGGGGUGGGGGGAUAUUGUUUUUCAGUGAUUCUCCUUCCUGAGUGGCCAGUUCCAUUUGUGGGUAAUGGAAGGAAGAGGUUUAACCAUCAGGUAUUUGGUUCUACUCAGCUCAUUCCUCUUCUUACUAUUUAACAUCUAUAUAAACUUGUUGAGAGAGCUCAUCUAUCAGCAUGAGGUAAGAAAUCAUCAAUAUAGGAAGGUUAUUCAAUUGUGCAUCUUCAUUCCUGGCCAGGCAAGAGAUGCAGUAGAAGUCCUGACCCAGUGUCUGGAGGCGAUUAUGGUCUGGAUGGGAAAAAAACAGGCUAAAGACUUAAUCCCAACAGGUUGUGUGGCUGUGGAUUUAAAAGCCCAGAUUCUGAAAACAGUCUGUAUUUAGUUCUGAAUAAGGCUGCACUCUAUCAGAUAGAGCUGGCUCACAAUUUUGGAGUCCUGUUCUGGACCUACAGCUCUUGACUGAACAGCAAGUAGAGGACAUGGCUGGAGGGCAUUUGUAUAUCUUUGUGACAGUUCUGGCUAUUUCUGGAACAGGAGGCUUUGCUUAUGAUGACUAAUGCCCUUGGCAGCUUAUAUUUGGAUUGCUGUAAUGUGCUUUACCUGGAGAUAUCCUUGAAAACUAUUUGGAAGUUUUGGCUGUUUCAUCAAGCAGCAUCUCAAAUAGGCAUGGGCAUUCAAGUCACUACUGUGGGAACAGCACUGACUGCCAGGUAGGUUUUGGAUACAAUUCAAGUUGUUAUUUAUCACCUUUAAAGCAUUACAUAGUUCACGGUCUAGAUAUCUCCAAGUCUGCCUACUUGGGGUUGAUUCUGCUUGUUUGGUGAGAUCACAGAAACAAAACUUGCUGAUGGUCCCUCUACUGAGGGAAUGUUACCUUUGCAGGAAUCCCAUCUUGGAAAUGGCCCUCAAUCCUAUAGAAAAAGACAAAGGGAGGGAUCCCUCUUUCUUGUGUCAUUUCAGUCCUUGCCCUCCUCUUUUAUCCUCCCAUCCUAUGAAACAGCCUAUCACCAGCUAUCUGGACCAUUCCUUCAUAUUUUUGAAAAGUUAUGAAAAUGUGGCUCUUCAAGGCUUUUGGGGACAAAUAAAGAACAUAUGACCCCCAAAAUGUGGCACAUCAGAUUGGAGGACAUCAGUUGUUCAGAAUCAUUAUGAUUGCAGAAGCAUGUAAACUGGAGUGAGCAAAUAAAUAAAUAUUUUUAAAAUGUCUUGAAGGUGAGAUGAUGUAUGAACUAACCCUAGAAACCAGUUUUUAGUCAAAGAUCUCACAAAGAAGUUACUGCAGUUGUUGAGGCCAUGUGGCUUAGAAAGUGAAAGAUGAGCCAUGUCACAAUUUGGCAGCCUGAUGACAACAGAGAUUAUGUGCCAAAUGGUUGUGUGGAAAAAAAGCAGCUUUUGUUGCUCUGAAAAGCAGUCCUAUAAACUACAUUGCCUGGAGAGGAAAUUAAAGAAAGCCAAAACCUUCUCCUAGAGGUAAUGCCAUCAUUUUUCAAGAUUUGCCACUCACACAGGCAAAGCCCCAGUUAAGUAAAGUUUGUGAUCCAUCAUAUCUGUCCCUCUCCAUCCUUUAGGAUAGAACACUGCUGAUACCCUGAGCAACACAGAUAUUCUUCCAAUAUAACUGAAUUUGGCAUGAGAUGGUGAAAAAGGAAUAACCUUCAACCCUAUGAAAACUUUCAAGAUGUUUCAUUUUGAUGAGGGGUUCAACCAAAGGCAUUAACCACCUUUAGCUAUGGUGGAAGACUUUCUGGAAUCACCGCUGUGCCUUCUUGCAUCAGCUGGAAGAUAGGGUCCGGUAUUGCCUGCUCUAUUUGACUUCCAGACCAAGGAAGAAAGUUGUAUUUAUAUCAUAUAGGAUCGUAUGUCCUCUUGGCAGGGUGAAAGGUGUCUAAUGCACAACAGUAACAACUGGUAAAGAGAUGUAGCUAUUGAGAGAAAAGAUGGUGACUGAUAAUCAUCUUCAUCUGAGAAAUACUGGGAUGGGUACAUCAAUACUACCAUCAUGUGGUCCAAAGAAUGGUUUUGGGACUGAAAAUGAAGACAUUCAAGAUGCUAUAUCUAUUAUUAGGUGAAAUGCAAUCAUAUCAACUGUAGCUUUUUCAGACAUGAGGGCAAUAGGCUUCAGUUUUGAUGCAAAGUAAGGGACAUUUUUUUGAGCGAAAGAGGGCACACCCUGAAGAAAAAGAGGGAGGAAGAAUCCCAAUCACCAGCAAAAAAAGUAUUUAUCUGGCUGAACACAUUUUAGAAAAUAUUCUUUUUUCAGGGGCAUUUUUUGAAUGUAUGUGAAGUAACUGAGCAGCAUUUUCUGCAAAAUGCAUUAAGGCAAAUAAAUACAUUUUUAUUGGCAACUACCAUUGCCUGCAAUGACAUAUAUCUACACCAUCCUGACUGCAAAAUAUCUGAGACAGACUGUCUUGUGAUAUACAGGUGAAACUCGAAAAAUUAGAAUGUCGUGCAAA